rnacentral:lncRNA from 1 species
CAUUUCUGCAAUCAGAUGGGUGUUGCACACCUGACAGGACUUCCUUAUAAUCCUCAAGGCCAAGGAAUCAUUGAACGUGCCCAUCGCACAUUAAAGGCUUAUUUAAAUAAACAAAAAGGGGGAAUUGGUGAGGUGCCGCCAACCCCCAAGGUUGCCAUCUCCACUGCACUUCUUACUUUAAAUUUCUUAAAUUUAGACGCCCAUGACUAUUCGGCGGCAGAACACCAUGAGCAGUGGCCUAUUCCACCCAAGGAUCAGGUGAAGUGGAAGGAUGUACUCACUGGAGAAUGGAAAGACCCGGAUCCUAUUCUAAUACGAUCCAGGGGAGCGAUUUGUGUUUUUCCGCAGAAUCAAGAAAAUCCAAUUUGGGUACCUGAGCGUUUGACUCGAAAAUUGCCUUCUGCUCUUCCUGAAGAUGAGACUACGAACCCUACUAUUACUACUGGGAAUGGUAAUACAGGUUAAUUCGCUCACCCUGUGGGCUAUUGCCAGAUCCUGGCCAGUACCCAUGCCAGUUCAUAGCAAUUCUACUGUUUUGAGAAUAAGACUGACAAGCAUAAUCUCUGGCCUUGGUUUCAAUGGGUGCUGUCCAAUGAGCAAGGGUUAUAUACAUCCCUGACCCCCUUUGCUAGGUUGAUGGGAGAGAACUUCGUGCUGUAUAAUGUUUCAGCUACCAGAAAAAGGUGAUACCAGGUUGAUCA